UAGCUAGUUGGUAAGGUAACGGCUUACCAAGGCCACGAUGGGUAGGGGUUCUGAGAGGAUACACCCCCCACCACUGGAACUGAGACACGGUCCCAGACUCCUACGGGAGGCAGCAGUAAAGAAUAUUGGUCAAUGGAGGCAACUCUGAACCAGCCAUGCCGCGUGCAGGAAGACGGCCCUACGGGUUGUAAACUGCUUUUAUUAGAGGAUAAACUAAUGUACGUGUACAUUAUUGCAGGUAUCUAAUGAAUAAGGACCGGCUAACUCCGUGCCAGCAGCCGCGGUAAUACGGAGGGUCCAAAGCGUUAUCCGGAUUUAUUGGGUUUAAAGGGUGCGCAGGCGGACUAAUAAGUCAGUGGUGAAAUUUACAUGCUUAACAUGUAACGUGCCAUUGAUACUGUUGGACUAGUAUUCAAAUGACGUAGCUGGAAUGUGUUAUGUAGCGGUGAAAUGCAUAGAUAUAACACAGAACACCGAUCGUGAAGACAGGUUACGAAUUUGACAUAGACGCUCAUGCACGAAAGCGUGGGGAUCAAACAGGAUUAGAUACCCUGGUAGUCCACGCCGUAAACGAUGAUAACUCGUUGUUGGGCUUUUACAGCUCAGUGCCAAGCGAAAGCGAUAAGUUAUCCACCUGGGGAGUAC
rnacentral:rRNA from 1 species